UUAAGCGACUAAGCGUACACGGUGGAUGCCCUGGCAGUCAGAGGCGAUGAAGGACGUGCUAAUCUGCGAAAAGCGUCGGUAAGGUGAUAUGAACCGUUAUAACCGGCGAUGUCCGAAUGGGGAAACCCAGUGUGAUUCGUCACACUAUCGUUAACUGAAUACAUAGGUUAACGAGGCGAACCGGGGGAACUGAAACAUCUAAGUACCCCGAGGAAAAGAAAUCAACCGAGAUUCCCCCAGUAGCGGCGAGCGAACGGGGAGCAGCCCAGAGUCUGAAUCAGCUUGUGUGUUAGUGGAACGGUCUGGAAAGUCCGACGGUACAGGGUGAUAGUCCCGUACACCAAAAUGCACAGGCUGUGAACUCGAAGAGUAGGGCGGGACACGUGGUAUCCUGUCUGAAUAUGGGGGGACCAUCCUCCAAGGCUAAAUACUCCUGACUGACCGAUAGUGAACCAGUACCGUGAGGGAAAGGCGAAAAGAACCCCGGCGAGGGGAGUGAAAAAGAACCUGAAACCGUGUACGUACAAGCAGUGGGAGCACCUUCGGGUGUGACUGCGUACCUUUUGUAUAAUGGGUCAGCGACUUAUAUUCUGUAGCAAGGUUAACCGUAUAGGGGAGCCGCAGGGAAACCGAGUCUUAACUGGGCGUUAAGUUGCAGGGUAUAGACCCGAAACCCGGUGAUCUAGCCAUGGGCAGGUUGAAGGUUGGGUAACACUAACUGGAGGACCGAACCGACUAAUGUUGAAAAAUUAGCGGAUGACUUGUGGCUGGGGGUGAAAGGCCAAUCAAACCGGGAGAUAGCUGGUUCUCCCCGAAAGCUAUUUAGGUAGCGCCUCGUGAACUCAUCUUCGGGGGUAGAGCACUGUUUCGGCUAGGGGGUCAUCCCGACUUACCAACCCGAUGCAAACUACGAAUACCGAAGAAUGUUAUCACGGGAGACACACGGCGGGUGCUAACGUCCGUCGUGAAGAGGGAAACAACCCAGACCGCCAGCUAAGGUCCCAAAGUCAUGGUUAAGUGGGAAACGAUGUGGGAAGGCACAGACAGCCAGGAUGUUGGCUUAGAAGCAGCCAUCAUUUAAAGAAAGCGUAAUAGCUCACUGGUCGAGUCGGCCUGCGCGGAAGAUGUAACGGGGCUAAACCAUGCACCGAAGCUGCGGCAGCGACACUAUGUGUUGUUGGGUAGGGGAGCGUUCUGUAAGCCUGCGAAGGUGUGCUGUGAGGCAUGCUGGAGGUAUCAGAAGUGCGAAUGCUGACAUAAGUAACGAUAAAGCGGGUGAAAAGCCCGCUCGCCGGAAGACCAAGGGUUCCUGUCCAACGUUAAUCGGGGCAGGGUGAGUCGACCCCUAAGGCGAGGCCGAAAGGCGUAGUCGAUGGGAAACAGGUUAAUAUUCCUGUACUUGGUGUUACUGCGAAGGGGGGACGGAGAAGGCUAUGUUAGCCGGGCGACGGUUGUCCCGGUUUAAGCAUGUAGGCUGGUUAUCCAGGCAAAUCCGGAUAAUCAAGGCUGAGGUGUGAUGACGAGGCACUACGGUGCUGAAGUAACAAAUGCCCUGCUUCCAGGAAAAGCCUCUAAGCAUCAGGUAACAUCAAAUCGUACCCCAAACCGACACAGGUGGUCAGGUAGAGAAUACCAAGGCGCUUGAGAGAACUCGGGUGAAGGAACUAGGCAAAAUGGUGCCGUAACUUCGGGAGAAGGCACGCUGGUGUGUAGGUGAAGCCCCUGCGGGUGGAGCUGAGACCAGUCGAAGAUACCAGCUGGCUGCAACUGUUUAUUAAAAACACAGCACUGUGCAAACACGAAAGUGGACGUAUACGGUGUGACGCCUGCCCGGUGCCGGAAGGUUAAUUGAUGGGGUUAUCCGUAAGGAGAAGCUCUUGAUCGAAGCCCCGGUAAACGGCGGCCGUAACUAUAACGGUCCUAAGGUAGCGAAAUUCCUUGUCGGGUAAGUUCCGACCUGCACGAAUGGCGUAAUGAUGGCCAGGCUGUCUCCACCCGAGACUCAGUGAAAUUGAACUCGCUGUGAAGAUGCAGUGUACCCGCGGCAAGACGGAAAGACCCCGUGAACCUUUACUAUAGCUUGACACUGAACAUUGAGCCUUGAUGUGUAGGAUAGGUGGGAGGCUUUGAAGCGUGGACGCCAGUCUGCGUGGAGCCAACCUUGAAAUACCACCCUUUAAUGUUUGAUGUUCUAACGUUGGCCCCUUACCGGGGUUGCGGACAGUGUCUGGUGGGUAGUUUGACUGGGGCGGUCUCCUCCCAAAGCGUAACGGAGGAGCACGAAGGUUAGCUAAUCCUGGUCGGACAUCAGGAGGUUAGUGCAAUGGCAUAAGCUAGCUUGACUGCGAGCGUGACGGCGCGAGCAGGUGCGAAAGCAGGUCAUAGUGAUCCGGUGGUUCUGAAUGGAAGGGCCAUCGCUCAACGGAUAAAAGGUACUCCGGGGAUAACAGGCUGAUACCGCCCAAGAGUUCAUAUCGACGGCGGUGUUUGGCACCUCGAUGUCGGCUCAUCACAUCCUGGGGCUGAAGUAGGUCCCAAGGGUAUGGCUGUUCGCCAUUUAAAGUGGUACGCGAGCUGGGUUUAGAACGUCGUGAGACAGUUCGGUCCCUAUCUGCCGUGGGCGCUGGAGAAUUGAGGGGGGCUGCUCCUAGUACGAGAGGACCGGAGUGGACGCAUCACUGGUGUUCGGGUUGUCAUGCCAAUGGCACUGCCCGGUAGCUAAAUGCGGAAGAGAUAAGUGCUGAAAGCAUCUAAGCACGAAACUUGCCCCGAGAUGAGUUCUCCCUGAGACUUUAAGUCUCCUGAAGGAACGUUGAAGACGACGACGUUGAUAGGCCGGGUGUGUAAGCGCAGCGAUGCGUUGAGCUAACCGGUACUAAUGAACCGUGAGGCUUAACCUU
rnacentral:rRNA from 5 species